rnacentral:rRNA from 1 species
CCUACGGGGGGCUGCAGUGGGGGAUAUUGCACAAUGGGGGGAACCCUGAUGCAGCGACGCCGCGUGGAGGAAGGAGCGUUUCGGCUCGUAAAGCCCUGUCGGCAGGGAAGAAUGAGGACGGUACCUAACUAAGAAGCCCCGGCUAACUACGUGCCAGCAGCCGCGGUAAUACGUAGGGGGCAAGCGUUAUCCGGAAUUACUGGGUGUAAAGGGGGCGCAGACGGGAGGGCAAGCCAGGAGUGAAAACCCCGGGCACAACCCCUGGACUGCUCUUGGAACUGCGCGGCUUGAGUGCAGGAGGGGCAGGCGGAAUUCCGGGUGUAGCGGUGAAAUGCGUAGAUAUCAGGAGGAACACCGGUGGCGAAGGCGGCCAGCUGGACUGCGACUGACGUUGAGGCUCGAAAGUGUGGGGAGCAAACAGGAUUAGAUACCCGGGUAGUC